rnacentral:lncRNA from 12 species
AUGGGGGCCAACUCUGCAGCCCUGGAGUCAGCUCCCACAAUAACUAAGGAGCUCUCCAUCUGCCAGGAGGGGCAUGGGAGCCCCCGGGUUCCAGGGGUCACGAACAUAGGAAAUGGGGAGAGCGUGCCAAGGACCAAGGACAGAGCUCCGAAAAUGGCUGGAGUGCCCCCCCCCCUCAGUGGUCCCGGGCGCAGCAUGGAGGCAGCUCGGGCGGAGGCUCCGAGGGGAGGGGACUGCUUGGCCACGGGAACACCUCGGAGGCAUCUUAGGCGGCAGCGCUGCACGGAGGGUCUUCUCGGCCCCAGGAGCAUCUCAGGAGUGGCUCUGGCAGAAGCUCCAUGGGGAGGAGGCUGUGCGGCCCCUGGAGCAGCUCCUGAGUGGUUUUCAUGCUUUUAUAUCAGCCCAAGUGCAUCAGAGCGCCCUUCUGUGAUGUCACGCCAUGCCUUGGCCAAUUACGGAGGCUCUCGGGGUGGACUGGAUCAGGUGGCCAAUCACCAUGUAGCUCAGAGUUCUGCACCUGACAAAAGAAGUUGCUGAACAGAUGAGGGAAGGAGAGGAGAGAUUAAGCAAAUUCCACCUAAUUCUAGGCACGUGGUGAGUCUCGUGUAUGUUCCAUAAAUUAAUGUCCUGUGUGGCCAUGUAGCCAUGUGGCACAUUCCUAAUUCCUGCUUCCACUAUUGAAUUGUCUGACAUGAAAGCUCAGAUAAGUUCAUCAUCAACAACAAAAUUUGAGUACGGCUCUGUGCUAGGUUCUUUCCUAACUGUGGAGAAAACAUAAGAAUGACAAAUGCUCAUUCUCAAAAUGAGAGUAGGAAAAUCAGAGGAAUGAAGGAAAUGAAGAGUGAAUUCAAUGGUCGAUUCUCUGUUCUUCACUCAACUUGCCUUCAUUUCUCCAUCAUUCACCUUCAAGCCAAUUCAUGGAGUAUGGGAAUAGCACAGAUCCAUGCCAAUUAUUUUUAUACAAAUGUGCAUAUACACAAAGUGAUCAUGGGCUUAACAGCAGUUUACAAGAGACUUGGGGUGUUUGGAGAAAUAAAAGUUCAAUUGAAACAAUUGAAGUGGGGUUA